CAACUAAUUCGGCGAUGGCGUAAACUUGGCACUAAGGUAUUAUAUUUCCGUAUCACCAAAGUUAUGUCUGACUCGACUUUCGAAAGCUUGGCACAAGGGAAAAGGAGUAGUUAUUGCUGCUAUGGUUAUUGUGAUCAAUUCUGUGAUUGGUGGAUUAAGCUGAGACUUAGGCCAUCAUAAUUCGAGGAAGCUCUGACAAACAACUUGUAUUGAGAAUCGUGAAGGCUUUGCUGCUCAUUCAUCAACCUGACCAAGUGGUGCCAAAGUUUAUCCUUUUGGUCAGGCAGUUCACCUAAUUCAUCAUCAGUUGGACAGGGAGAUUCUUCUGGAGAGGAUGGAGCAUAACCUGAGUUGGCUUGUAAUGUUGUUACUGUGCGGGAUGGCAUCACAGUACUUGAAUCUGACUGUGUGGGUCCUUGGCUAGAGUAGCUGGUGUCAUUCAGUGCUGAAAAAUUGAAAGUAUCAAAUUAUUUAAAAACUAAAACAAAGGUGUCAUGUACAAGAUUGUUUGAUAACUAGUGCAGUUAGUGCAAAAAUGCCAUGUGUGUA